UCCUUGCAGAAGCUACGUUUUCNAGCCAGA
rnacentral:piRNA from 1 species